rnacentral:piRNA from 1 species
GUUUAGUUUGGUGUUGAGCUCUUGG